UCUCUAUUUAAGUCUAUAAAAAGGAAACCACUGUAACAAAGUAUAAAGGAGAACCCAUUCGAUAUUUUGUGAAGAAAAUGGCCAGCAGCCAGUCAUCGUAUCAGAGAAAGACACUUGUCUUCUUCUGUGCUUUUUUUGUAACCGUGGCAGGCGCCCAACAUCCAAGUUACUUGCCGUCAACUAAAGACGACACCAAUCUCCGUUUAGACUACGAAACUUUGAAAACUCGAUUCGAGGACUUUGUUGGUGCCGUUGAGAUUCAAUUUGACCGACUGAAAGAGGAAAUUUGACAGUUAAAAAUGAAGGUCAGCGACAGCGAAAAAGAUUUACAUAAUACGGGUGAUGUCGCCUCAUCUAAAGGUGGAAUUCCAAGAUCUUGUCAUGAAGCCCGAUUGGCUGACCCUUCAUUGUCCACCGGCGUUUACUGGAUCGAUCCCGACGGCCAAGGUGUUGGAGACGAUCCCAUUCAAGUAAAUUGCGACAUGUCUUCAGGUAUGAAAUAUAGCCUAUUACCUAUAUAAUUGCUGACCGUUUUAUAUUUAUCUUGAUAUUUAUGGUACACAAUUUUCACUGUAAGCUGCGUUUUCUAUUCGACAGGAAACGACAAUUAUUGGACACGACACCGAAGCAUCGACAAACGUCGGCCAUUGCACAGAUCCUGGCUGUUAUACGAAACCAAUCGUGUACCAAGCAUCAUUAAAACAGAUCACAGCCCUUACACAACUUUCAUCAGAUUGUCGCCAGUCGAUUAAGUACGAGUGCUACUCAGCUCCUCUGCAGUUUGAUGGCGUCGAAUAUUCCUGGUGGAAUGACCGGAACGGUAACGAGCAAUAUUACUGGAACGGGAGCGAUAACUCCACACAUAUGUGUUCGUGCGGAAUUUCAAAGACCUGUGUCGAUCCUAGCAAAAACUGCAACUGUGACGCGAUCGUUCCUGUUGACUUAGUCGACGAAGGUGAGAUAACUGCGAAGGAAAGUUUGCCCAUCACACGUUUGAAUUUUGGAAGAACGACCCCUGCAGCGUCGAGUGGCAUUCACACUUUAGGAAAAUUGAAAUGCUCCGGUCAGAAGUUGGUCGACGGGAUGCCAACCUCUUGCGUGGAAUUGUGGCAGAUCGGUCAUGUCCUC
rnacentral:lncRNA from 1 species